AGAGUUUGAUCAUGGCUCAGAACGAACGCUGGCGGCAGGCCUAACACAUGCAAGUCGAGCGCCCCGCAAGGGGAGCGGCGGACGGGUGAGUAACGCGUGGGAAUUUUUCCUGGAGUACGGAACAACCGAGGGAAACUUCGGCUAAUACCGUAUGAUGCCGAGAGGCCAAAGAUUUAUCGCUCUGGGGUGAGCCCGCGUCAGAUUAGGUAGUUGGUGGGGUAAUGGCCUACCAAGCCUGCGAUCUGUAGCUGGUCUGAGAGGACGAUCAGCCACACUGGGACUGAGACACGGCCCAGACUCCUACGGGAGGCAGCAGUGGGGAAUCUUGCGCAAUGGGCGAAAGCCUGACGCAGCCAUGCCGCGUGAGUGAAGAAGGUCUUAGGAUUGUAAAGCUCUUUCGCUCGUGACGAUGAUGACGGUAACGAGAGAAGAAGCCCCGGCUAACUUCGUGCCAGCAGCCGCGGUAAUACGAAGGGGGCUAGCGUUGUUCGGAAUUACUGGGCGUAAAGCGCGCGUAGGCGGUUUUGCAAGCCAGAGGUGAAAUGCCUGAGCUCAACUCAGGAAUGGCCUUUGGGACUGCGAGGCUUUGAGGACUGGAGAGGUGAGUGGAAUUCCCAGUGUAGAGGUGAAAUUCGUAGAUAUUGGGAAGAACACCGGUGGCGAAGGCGGCUCACUGGCCAGUUUCUGACGCUGCAGCGCGAAAGCGUGGGGAUCAAACAGGAUUAGAUACCCUAGUAGUCC
rnacentral:rRNA from 1 species